UACGUAGGGGGCAAGCGUUGUCCGGAAUCAUUGGGCGUAAAGAGCGUGUAGGCGGUCCGGUAAGUCGGUUGUGAAAGUCCAGGGCUCAACCCUGGGAUGCCGACCGAUACUGUCGGACUAGAGUUCGGAAGAGGCGAGUGGAAUUCCAGGUGUAGCGGUGAAAUGCGCAGAUAUCAGGAAGAACACCCGUGGCGAAGGCGGUUCUCUGGGACGGUACUGACGCUGAGACGCGAAAGCGUGGGGAGCGAACAGG
rnacentral:rRNA from 1 species